UACGUAGGGGGCAAGCGUUGUCCGGAUUUAUUGGGCGUAAAGAGCGUGUAGGCGGUUUGGUAGGUCCGUUGUGAAAACUCGAGGCUCAACCUCGAGACGCCGGCGGAAACCAUCAGGCUAGAGUCCGGAAGAGGAGAGUGGAAUUCCUGGUGUAGCGGUGAAAUGCGCAGAUAUCAGGAAGAACACCCGUGGCUAAGGCGGCUCUCUAGUACGGUACUGACGCUGAGACGCGGAAGCGUGGGGAGCGAACAGG
rnacentral:rRNA from 1 species